GAUGAAGAACGUAGCGAAAUGCGAUACGUAAUGUGAAUUGCAGAAUUCAGCGAAUCAUCGAAUCUUUGAACGCAUAUUGCGCUCUCUGGUAUUCCGGAGAGCAUGCUUGUUUGAGUAUCAGUAAACACCUCAACUUCCAUAUCUUUUUUGAAAUGGGAGUUGGACUUGAGUGAUCCCAACGCUUUUCCUCACCGAAAAGUGGCGGGUUACUUGAAAUGCAGGUGCAGCUGGACUUUUCUCUGAGCUAUAAGCAUAUCUAUUUAGUCUGCCUAAAAAACAGAUUAUUACCUUUGCUGCAGCUAACAUAAAGGAGAUUAGUUCUUGUGCUGACUGAUGCAGGAUUCACAAAGACAGCUUCGGCCGACUUUGUAAACUCGAUCUCAAAUCAAGUAAGACUACCCGCUGAACUUAAGCAUACAAUAAGCGGAGGA
rnacentral:misc_RNA from 1 species